rnacentral:rRNA from 1 species
UACGUAGGGUGCAGGCGUUAAUCGGAAUUACUGGGCGUAAAGCGUGCGCAGGCGGUUUGCUAAGACAGGUGUGAAAUCCCCGGGCUUAACCUGGGAAUGCCAUGGAACUGGCGAACUGGAGUGUGGCAGAGGGGGGUGGAAUUCCGCGUGUAGCAGUGAAAUGCGUAGAGAUGCGGAGGAACACCGAUGGCGAAGGCAGCCCCCCUGGGCUAGCACUGACGCUCAGGCACGAAAGCGUGGGGAGCAAACAGG